rnacentral:rRNA from 1 species
GAUUGGAAUUCCUGGUGUAGCGGUGGAAUGCGCAGAUAUCAGGAGGAACACCGAUGGCGAAGGCAGAUCUCUGGGCCGUAACUGACGCUGAGGAGCGAAAGGGUGGGGAGCAAACAGGCUUAGAUACCCUGGUAGUCCACCCCGUAAACGUUGGGAACUAGUUGUGGGGACCAUUCCACGGUUUCCGUGACGCAGCUAACGCAUUAAGUUCCCCGCCUGGGGAGUACGGCCGCAAGGCUAAAACUCAAAGGAAUUGACGGGGACCCGCACAAGCGGCGGAGCAUGCGGAUUAAUUCGAUGCAACGCGAAGAACCUUACCAAGGCUUGACAUAUACGAGAACGGGCCAGAAAUGGUCAACUCUUUGGACACUCGUAAACAGGUGGUGCAUGGUUGUCGUCAGCUCGUGUCGUGAGAUGUUGGGUUAAGUCCCGCAACGAGCGCAACCCU